rnacentral:ncRNA from 1 species
CAACGAAAAGGGCAAACCCGCUGAAAGGCGGGGGCGCAAAGCCUCGGGUCUAAGACCUAGAGAGUUAUGACGGCCGGGCUACCGAA